rnacentral:rRNA from 1 species
GUCUAAUCUGCUCAAUGAGGAUUUAAAUUGCCGCGGUAUUUUGACCGUGCAAAGGUAGCAUAAUAAUUAGUUUUUUUAUUGAAAGCUGGAAUGAAUGAUUGGACGAGGGAGUAGCUGUCUCAAGUAUAAUUAUUUUUGAAUUUAACUUUUGAGUAAAAAGGCUCAAAUUUACUUUAAAGACGAGAAGACCCUAUAGAGUUUAAUAAUUUGGUUAUUAAAAGGUUUUUGGUUUUAGAGUUCUUUUAAUAAUAAAUUUAUUUGGUUGGGGUGACUUAAAGACUUAAUUAACUCUUUAAAUUUUAAAAUCAUUGAUUUGUGAUUAUAAAAUCUAGUUUUUCUAAAUAUAAGAUAAAUUACCUUAGGGAUAACAGCGUAAUUUUUCUUUAGAGUUCUUAUUGUAAGAAAAGUUUGCGACCUCGAUGUUGGAUUAAAAUUAGUCUUUGGUGCAGAAGCUGAGGAAUUAGGUCUGUUCGACCUUU